GUUGUUAAAAAGGCGGCAGGAAUAGCAGCAUCCAUACGGUCACGCAAUUAGACCCCCGCCGUGAGAUGCGUCGGCGGCUGUGAGGCAGGUGGGGACAUGCCUGUGAGGCUGAAAGGGCUUCCGGACGCAUAAAUCGCACCAGGCGCCGUCGUACGCCGGACCAACGAUGCAUCAUAACAUACCUAGUUGUUAAAAAGGCGGCAGGAAUAGGAGCAUCCAUACGGUCACGCAAUUAGAACCCCGCCGUGAGAUGCGUCGGCGGCUGUGAGGCAGGUGGGGACAUGCCUGUGAGGCUGAAAGGGCUUCCGGACGCAUAAAUCGCACCAGGCGCCGUCGUACGCCGGACCAACGGUGCAUCAUAACAUAACUAAUUGUUAAAAAGGCGGCGGGGUAAGGAGCAUCCAUACGGUCACGCAAUUAGAACCCCGCCGUGAGAUGCGUCGGCGGCUGUGAGGCAGGUGGGGACAUGCCUGUGAGGCUGAAAGGGCUUCCGGACGCAUAAAUCGCACCAGGCGCCGUCGUACGCCGGACCAACGAUGCAUCAUAACAUAACUAGCUGCUAAAAAGGCGGCAGGAAAGGAGCAUCCAUACGGUCACGCAAUUAGAACCCCGCCGUGAGAUGCGUCGGCGGCUGUGAGGCAGGUGGGGACAUGCCUGGAGGCUGAAAGGGCUUCCGGACGCAUAAAUCGCACCAGGCGCCGUCGUACGCCGGACCAACGAUGCAUCAUAACAGUAACUAGUUGUUAGAAAGGCGGCAGGAAUAGGAGCAUCCAUACGCGCACGCAAUUAGAGCCCCGCCGUGAGAUGCGUAGGCGGCUGUGAGGCAGGUGGGGACAUGCCUGUGAGGCUGAGAGGGCUUCCGGACGCAUAAAUCGCACCAGGCGCCGUCGUACGCCGGACAAAGGUUGCAUCAUAACAUUAACUAGUUGUUAGAAAGGCGGCAGGAAUAGGAGCAUCCAUACGCGCACGCAAUUAGAACCCCGCCGUGAGAUGCGUCGGUGGCUGUGAGGCAGGUGGGACAUGCCUGUGAGGCUGAAAGGGCUUCCGGACGCAUAAAUCGCACCAGGCGCCGUCGUACGCCGGACCACCGAUGCAUCAUAACAUCAACUAGUUGCUAGAAAGGCGGCGGGGUAAGGAGCAUCCAUACGCGCACGCAAUUAGAACCCCGCCGUGAGAUGCGUCGGUGGCUGUGAGGCAGGUGGGGACAUGCCUGGAGGCUGAAAGGGCUUCCGGACGCAUAAAUCGCACCAGGCGCCGUCGUACGCCGGACCAACGAUGCAUCAUAACAUCAACUAGUUGCCAGAAAAGCGGCGGGGAACGCGUCUUCAUCAGUCACGCUCGCUAGCCAACCAUCAUGGGGAAGGGAUGUAAGACCGUCAUCCUCUGGGAUGGGUCGAACUACUCCCACUGGCUCGGCGAGUUAGGCGAUUUCCUCGCAACGUCCAAGUUGAAGAGCUACAUCAACAACCCG
rnacentral:lncRNA from 1 species